GAGAGUUUGAUCCUGGCUCAGGACGAACGCUGGCGGCGUGCCUAAUACAUGCAAGUCGAACGCACGAAGUUGAAGAGCUUGCUCUUUAACCAAGUGAGUGGCGGACGGGUGAGUAACACGUGGGUGACCUGCCCAUUAGAGGGGGAUAACACUCGGAAACGGAUGCUAAUACCGCAUAGUUUCAGGAGCCGCAUGAUUCUUGAAGGAAAGGUGGCUUCGGCUACCACUAAUGGAUGGACCCGCGGCGCAUUAGCUAGUUGGUGAGGUAAUGGCUCACCAAGGCAAUGAUACGUAGCCGACCUGAGAGGGUGAUCGGCCACACUGGGACUGAGACACGGCCCAGACUCCUACGGGAGGCAGCAGUAGGGAAUCUUCCGCAAUGGACGAAAGUCUGACGGAGCAACGCCGCGUGAGUGAAGAAGGUUUUCGGAUCGUAAAACUCUGUUGUUAAAGAAGAACAAGGAUGAGAGUAACUGCUCAUCCCCUGACGGUAUUUAACCAGAAAGCCACGGCUA
rnacentral:rRNA from 1 species